CCUACGGGAGGCAGCAGUGAGGAAUAUUGGUCAAUGGGCUUACGCCUGAACCAGCCAAGUCGCGUGAGGGAAGACUGCCCUAUGGGUUGUAAACCUCUUUUGUCAGGGAGCAACGCCGGCUACGUGUAGCCGGACUGAGAGUACCUGAAGAAAAAGCAUCGGUUAACUCCGUGCCAGCGGCCGCGGUAAUACGGAGGAUGCGAGCGUUAUCCGGAUUUAUUGGGUUUAAAGGGUGCGUAGGCGGAAUGCCAAGUCAGCGGUAAAAUCGCGGGGCUCAACCUCGCUCCGCCGUUGAAACUGGCGUUCUUGAGUGGGCGAGAAGUAUGCGGAAUGCGUGGUGUAGCGGUGAAAUGCAUAGAUAUCACGCAGAACUCCGAUUGCGAAGGCAGCAUACCGGCGCCCAACUGACGCUGAAGCACGAAAGCGUGGGUAUCGAACAGGAUUAGAUACCCCAGUAGUC
rnacentral:rRNA from 1 species